GUAGUCCACGCCCUAAACGAUGUCGACUAGGUGUUGGGGAAGGAGACUUCCUUAGUACCGCAGCUAACGCGUGAAGUCGACCGCCUGGGGAGUACGGUCGCAAGAUUAAAACUCAAAGGAAUUGACGGGGACCCGCACAAGCGGUGGAUGAUGUGGAUUAAUUCGAUGCAACGCGAAAAACCUUACCUACCCUUGACAUGUACGGAAGCCCGAUGAGAGUUGGGUGUGCCCGAAAGGGAGCCGUAACACAGGUGCUGCAUGGCUGUCGUCAGCUCGUGUCGUGAGAUGUUGGGUUAAGUCCCGCAACGAGCGCAACCCUUGUCAUUAGUUGCUACAUUCAGUUGGGCACUCUAAUGAGACUGCCGGUGACAAACCGGA
rnacentral:rRNA from 1 species